rnacentral:lncRNA from 1 species
ACCAAUUUCCAAAAGACCUUCUUUCGCAGCAAUUUCUUGUAAUUUACCGCACUCCUUAAUGUCCUUCACAUUCAUUCCAACCCUAGUUAUAUGGUUUUUCCACAUCUUCUCUUUCAUUAUCCUCUCCAUCCUAGCCUUCCUCACGUCUUCCUAUAACAUUUCUUAAUAUUUUUAUCACAUAUCUGAAUUUUAUGUUAAC